CCACUUCGGUGGGGAUUAGUGGCGAACGGGUGAGUAACACGUGGGCAAUCUGCCCUGCACUCUGGGACAAGCCCUGGAAACGGGGUCUAAUACCGGAUACUGACCACCGCGGGCAUCUGUGGUGGUCGAAAGCUCCGGCGGUGCAGGAUGAGCCCGCGGCCUAUCAGCUUGUUGGUGAGGUAACGGCUCACCAAGGCGACGACGGGUAGCCGGCCUGAGAGGGCGACCGGCCACACUGGGACUGAGACACGGCCCAGACUCCUACGGGAGGCAGCAGUGGGGAAUAUUGCACAAUGGGCGCAAGCCUGAUGCAGCGACGCCGCGUGAGGGAUGACGGCCUUCGGGUUGUAAACCUCUUUCAGCAGGGAAGAAGCGAAAGUGACGGUACCUGCAGAAGAAGCGCCGGCUAACUACGUGCCAGCAGCCGCGGUAAUACGUAGGGCGCGAGCGUUGUCCGGAAUUAUUGGGCGUAAAGAGCUCGUAGGCGGCUUGUCGCGUCGGUUGUGAAAGCCCGGGGCUUAACCCCGGGUCUGCAGUCGAUACGGGCAGGCUAGAGUUCGGUAGGGGAGAUCGGAAUUCCUGGUGUAGCGGUGAAAUGCGCAGAUAUCAGGAGGAACACCGGUGGCGAAGGCGGAUCUCUGGGCCGAUACUGACGCUGAGGAGCGAAAGCGUGGGGAGCGAACAGGAUUAGAUA
rnacentral:rRNA from 1 species